ACCCCCCUGGAGACCCUCUAGGAACCUCUUUGAGAACCCUUGUUUUAUGAGACACACGCAUGUCUUUGCACUUAUUCGUGUAAACACCUUCCUGGAAUCAAACUGAGGAUUCUUGCCCAUGUGAGGUUUUCUGGACUCACUGGAUAUGUGAGAAAAACAACAACAACAUGAAGUUUUUCUCCAGGUCGAUCCUCACUGCGUUAAACAGGAUCAUGGCGUCAGUGCAAGGUUGUCCCACUGUCCCACUUUCCAAUGGUUUGCAGAUCCCGAUAUUUGGACUAGGCACAUCUCAUGAUGGUGGAUACUCCCAUGAUGCCAUUGUGUACGCACUCACAGAGUGUGGUGUGCGCCACAUUGACACAGCAAAGCGCUACGGCUGUGAGGAGAUGCUGGGUAGAAGUAUCAGAGAUAGUGGGCUAGCACGAAGUGAUCUGUGGCUCACCAACAAACUGUGGCCAGGGGACUAUGGAUACGAAGAUACAAGGAAGGCCUGUCUGGACUCCUGCUCAAGGAUGGGGGUGGAAUAUUUCGAUCUGUUCAUGAUGCACUGGCCGGGGUCGCAGAAACCUGGUCGCUCCAACAGAGAGAUGAGGGCUGACACCUGGAGAGCUUUAGAAGAACUUCAUGAAGAAGGGGUGUGCCGUGCUAUUGGAGUGAGUAACUUUAUGGUCCACCACCUGGAGCAGUUAAAGGAAGACUGUAGUGAGAUACCACAUGUUAACCAGGUGGAGUACCAUCCUUACCAGCAGACCAAUCACGUAAAAGAGUAUUGUCGUGAGGAAGGGAUUGUUUUCGAAGGCUACAGUCCAUUGGCCAAGGGUCAGGUCCUCAGCGACCCCACUGUCCUCCAGAUAGCAGAGAAGUACAGACGCACACCUGCUCAGAUCUGCAUCCGCUGGAGUAUUCAGAAUGGAGUUGUAACAAUACCUAAAUCCACCAAAAAGAAGAGGAUACAAGAAAACUUUGAAGUGUUUGAUUUCCAUAUGGAGGAGGAAGACAUGGCAGCGUUGGGAAGAUUGCACGAUGGAAGACACGUCUCUUGGGAUCCUACAAAUGUGGAGUAGUAAAAUGAAGAAAACACAAGGAGCAUUUCUCCUGGUACUAAUUUUGUCAGUAACAGCUUUUUAAUAUAACACCAACUUUUUUAAUUGUUGUCACUGUUUGCUUCAUUUAUCUUAACUACCUUUUCUGGGAAAGUGCUGCAGAUCUCAAGUGCUAUGUAGAAAUGUUAACUAUAAGUGGUAUUCAAUUGUAAUACUGUACAUGAGUCUUUCAUCAUUUUUGUUUAAAAAAAAAAAAGCAAUUACUAAAAUAACAGCUCUCCACAGAGUACAUGUGUGUGCUUACAGAAGUCAUCAAGCUCCUAUUUUUCAAAUUCCUAAACCACACAGUCUAUACCAGAGGCUUUGUGUCAGGGGAGACUUUUUGUGGAACAAAGAGAGACAGAGCUGGUUGGCAAGCAGGUUUUUAAACACAGAGGAAUUUUGAGAAGUUGAGUGCUUUGCAUGUUUGCAGAGGAGUUGUAAGGUCACUGCAAGAAACAGCCCAUCAUAUAGUAUACCAUAUCUGCCCAAUAAAGGUGACUGUCAACAGUUAAAAAACCAUGUAUUACCUUUGUUGUGAUAAAGCUGUUAAUUGGGAUCUCAGGAAGCCUCCCAACACACACUUCCCAGCCAUUGAAACACUGAGAAGAACUAGUUCCGCAGGUUCAAUCAUAUUUCCUCGGUCGAGGAAUCAUGUCAUCUGCAGAAGGUUGGACUUGUCCCACUGUGAAACUUUCUAAUGGGGUCCGAAUGCCAAUACUUGGAAUAGCAGCCCAAUGACCUGAUCGAGUUCUGCCGCCAUGAGGGCAUUGCAUUUCAGGGCUACUGCCCUCUGGCUAAGGGUCAAGUCCUGAGCAGCCCCACCAUUAUCCAGUUAGCACAAAAGUAUGGACGCACACCUGCUCAGAUCUGCAUCCGCUGGAGUGUUCAGAAUGGAGUCAUUACAAUAUCAAAGACAACCAAAAAGGAACAUCAGGCUGAAAACUAUCAGGUGCUUGGAUUCCAGCUGGAGGGGGAAGACAUGUUGGCUAUAAACAAGAUGCAUGAUGGGAGACAUGUUUCCUGGGGUCCAACCGAUGUGGACUAACACAAGGCACAUUUGCUGCAGGACAAAUAACUGAUAAAAUGAUAGUUAUCAGCUUCUUUCUGUCAUAUUUAUGUCAUUGUGAAGUUGCACAUAUUAUGAUUUCCCAAAUUCAUAUUUCUAACACAAUUGGAUUGGAUCAAUAUGUUUCAUUGGAGGAUGACAUUAAAGUAACCCAGGUGCCUUGAA